rnacentral:rRNA from 1 species
UACGUAGGCAGCAAGCGUUGUUCGGAGUUACUGGGCGUAAAGGGUGUGUAGGCGGUUGCUUAAGUUUGGUGUGAAAUCUCCCGGCUCAACUGGGAGGGUGCGCCGAAUACUGAGUGACUCGAGUGCGGGAGAGGAUCGCGGAAUUCCCGGUGUAGAGGUGAAAUUCGUAGAUAUCGGGAGGAACACCAGUGGCGAAGGCGGCGAUCUGGGAAGAUACUGACGCUGAGGUGCGAAAGCGUGGGGAGCAAACAGG